CUAGUUUUCUCAGUGAUCUGCCAGAUAUUAUUUGAAUUUCUGAGAUCAUUGUGAAAGCUGAUU
rnacentral:pre_miRNA from 1 species